CAGCAGUGCAUCAGGUUAGCAUAUUACUGGUUUGGGUGUUUCUAAUAUACUAAACCUUCAGAUGUUUACCUAAUUCUGAAUCCUUGUGUUAGCCAGAAGCUUAUAAUCCGAUUCACCAACUUUCAACAAUCUACUGGUCCAUGAAUGAUAAAUUACUAUCUUCCCCUAACAAUAGAAAAAGCUGAUUCCUUUACCACUCCCCAAAUCUAAACUUGGUUUCCACUUAAAAGUUACUCAGUUGAGAACACUUAAUAUCAAUUACAAUCAUUAGUUUAAGUUGCACUGAUACUACCAUUAUAUCACAGUGCACACAACACGAGAUGAAGUCUAUUUUUUUUACAUUAAUUAGUUCUACACAAAUAGAUUCCCUAGCAAAUUUGUUUCAGACCAAUUGACAACUAUCUGUGAACAUAACUAAACUUAAACAUUUGUCUUAUUUUAUACCUGUACUUUAAGUAAGGUUUUAAGUUGAAAUGUCAUUAUUUCCUUAUCUGAAGGAUUAAAGGAAACAGGGACCCAGUGGCUUGGUGGUUUGGGAAGAACACUUGGUGAUGGCGGCUCACUAAAUUUGGCACCAGCAUAGUUCUGUUUAGCUUGAGAUUUAAAAAGUAAGCUGGGACCUGAUAAGCUAGAAUUCCAACUUUGAUUAUUUGGAAAAUUUUUGUUCUUCCCCCCAUUUUUCAUGGCCUGCCAAGCCCAAGAUAACAAGUGUUGCUUUCUGACAGAUCCCUUCCUUUGUCUCAAUACAGAAGUUUUCAUGGGCCGAUCUGCUGAGUUCAGCCUAGGAGCUGAGGCCAACAUCUGAGUCUCCUCAGCACUCAAGUUUGAGAGAAGUCCUAGUGACUUCAAGCUCGGAACUAACGCGGCAGCGGCUCCCUCUCGACGUUGAAGCCUCCCUCCCUUUCCAGGGAGAGACGAGGCACGGACCGACAAAGCCCACGAACACCGAUGAGCGAGCUGCCGGCCACCCCAGCUUCUACAAUCCGACCUUCUCCUUCUGCCUCUACCGAC
rnacentral:lncRNA from 1 species